rnacentral:rRNA from 1 species
UGGGGAAUAUUGGACAAUGGGGGAAACCCUGAUCCAGCAAUGCCGCGUGAGUGAUGAAGGCCUUAGGGUUGUAAAGCUCUUUCGACGGGGACGAUGAUGACGGUACCCGUAGAAGAAGCCCCGGCUAACUUCGUGCCAGCAGCCGCGGUAAGACGAAGGGGGCUAGCGUUGUUCGGAAUUACUGGGCGUAAAGCGCGCGUAGGCGGUUUUCCAAGUCAGGCGUGAAAGCCCCGGGCUCAACCCGGGAACUGCGCUUGAUACUGUGAGACUUGAGACCGGGAGAGGAUAGUGGAAUUCCCAGUGUAGAGGUGAAAUUCGUAGAUAUUGGGAAGAACACCAGUGGCGAAGGCGGCUAUCUGGACCGGUACUGACGCUGAGGCGCGAAAGCGUGGGGAGCAAACAGG